rfam:Triticum aestivum genome assembly, contig: Triticum_aestivum_CS42_TGACv1_scaffold_361370_4DS
CAACUACUCCCUCCGUCCGAAAAAGCUUAUCCCAAGCUUGUCCCUCAAAUGGAUGUAUCUAGCACUAACUUGGUGCUAGAUAGACCCAUUUGAGGGACAAGCUUUUACGGACGGAGGGAGUAGCAC